rnacentral:rRNA from 1 species
UACGUAGGGGGCGAGCGUUGUCCGGAGUUACUGGGCGUAAAGGGCGCGUAGGCGGCGGGCCAAGUCGGGUGUGAAAGCCCCGGGCUCAACCUGGGAGGUGCGCUCGAGACUGGUUUGCUGGAGUUCGGGAGAGGAGCGUGGAAUUCCCAGUGUAGAGGUGAAAUUCGUAGAUAUUGGGAAGAACACCGGUGGCGAAGGCGGCGCUCUGGACCGAGACUGACGCUGAGGCGCGAAGGCGUGGGGAGCAAACAGG